rnacentral:rRNA from 1 species
UUCCAGACUCCUACGGGAGGCAGCAGUGAGGAAUAUUGGUCAAUGGGCGGAAGCCUGAAUCAGCCAAGUCGCGUGAGGGAAUAAGGCCCUACGGGUCGUAAACCUCUUUUGCCGGGGAGCAAGGGCGGGGACGUGUCCCGGCCCGGAGAGUACCCGGAGAAAAAGCAUCGGCUAACUCCGUGCCAGCAGCCGCGGUAAUACGGAGGAUGCGAGCGUUAUCCGGAUUUAUUGGGUUUAAAGGGUGCGUAGGCGGAACAUUAAGUCAGCGGUAAAAUCGAGGGGCUCAACCCCUUUAAGCCGUUGAAACUGGUGAUCUUGAGUGGGCGAGAAGUAUGCGGAAUGCGUGGUGUAGCGGUGAAAUGCAUAGAUAUCACGCAGAACUCCGAUUGCGAAGGCAGCAUACCGGCGCCCGACUGACGCUGAGGCACGAAAGCGUGGGGAUCGAACAGGAUUAGAUACCCUUGUA